UCUGGAUUUUCAGUACAGAAUCUUACUUUUUUAGGCAGUAAGCAAAAGAGGUAAGUGUAACGUACCUGUUUUAAGCUUAACCAAACGUGCUGAAAAAGUGUGACGUUUGCAGCUAUAUAUAUAGUGUUCAAGCUGUCCUGAGCUUCUUUGACCAUCUUCAGGGUGGCUCUUCAAUUUGUGCAUGAGAUGCAACACAAAGCACAGAAGAACUUUGAUGCAAGUAGAGAUGAAUCGUUACCAGUAUUUGGGGUUGGUGUUGCUUAUAUUGAUGAGAGAGCAAUUUUUACAGUCCCUUCUCAUGAUUUUGAUAGAGCCAUUGAUGAGAUGAAACUGAUUGUGUCUAAUUUAGCUCCACCAGUAAAACACUUCCAUAUUCUUCCAACUGAAAGUAUUUAUUCAUCUGAUACUGGUGCUAGGAGGCUAAGAUUGAUGGAAUUAAUAAAUGCUGUUAGCGACGUCACUGGAAAAGAAGACCUUCUGGAGCAUCUGCGCAUGUUAUCUUUGCAGAAGGUUUGAUUUUGUAUUUUUUCCUGCUUAAUUAAGCAUUAGAUUAGGGAAAAGACAUGUACUUUUAGAUUAUGCUGUCCACGUAGUGCAGAUUGCUGUUGAUAAUGGAUACACCAAGCGGUCCAAGCCCGUGCUAGGAACAUGCACAUCACGGAUAGCUUGCCAUGUCCUCGAAGCCACUGUAAAGGUUUAUUCCUCCUCCUUACACCUAACUUCCCAAACAAUGAUUAAAUAAAUGUACAGAUACAUAAUGAUGUACAUAAAAGAAUAAAUGACAAUAAGCCCUUGUUUGAGCCCCAUUUUGAAGAAAAAAUGUAUUUUUGAAUAGUGAGUUUUUAGAGAAUCUAUGGUUAGAAAGUAAAAAUAAAUAAAUUCAAUUUACGUAUAGAAUUAUUUUAUUGGAGGAUGUGUGGUUGAAAAUGAGUUUUGAAAAAAUGAAUUUUUGGAAAAAUGGGGGUCAAACAAGAGCUAAAGCAAGAAAAGAAAUUUUUUUGGCAAAAUGAUCAUUUCUGUUAGCUAGACUGGAUAAUCGCCUUCAAUUUGUGUUCUUGUAUUACUAUUCGGUUCAAUGGAUGUUGUCAGGAGAAAAACUUGGUCAAAAUGCAGUAGCUAACGCCAGAAAGCUUAAUUACAUAUAUGUCUAAAGCUAUCACAGUAUAAAAACGAAAUAUUCUUUUGUUGAUGCUAGGUGGGAGAUGCCAGUGGUUCUUCCGCUACGUGAUUGUAUCUCUUAAGAGCUGAGUCUGCUUUGCAGUCUCGACAAGUUUGUUGCACAAACAUGCUACAGAUCUUUCCUCUUCCUUGGGGAGGCUGUUUAGUUAGAUUUUGUGUCAUUUUUCAUUUCUUUUUAUUAUGAUGCUGUAAUGAUUACUUCAUGAUAGGACUUACUUUAUUUUGUGAGGGCAGUUUGAAGAAGGUAGAAACAUUUCAGCUACCUCG
rnacentral:sRNA from 1 species